GCACGCUCGUUUAUAUAUUCACCUGUGCACUUAAAACUGGGCUCAGUAAGUGGCUCUGAUCUCCUGAAAGGGAUUGAGAAAGGGCUAUGAUAAUGGGUCAAAUCGUGGGCUUGCUAGUAAGUGGUUUCUGAUCUCCUGAAAGGGAUUGAGAAAGGGCUGCGAUAAUAACAAGUCUGCGUAUGUAUGUAGGUUUGGUAUGGUUCUACGAUCAUGCUAGUGGCCUCGCCACGAGAACAAGCUUUAUGUAUAUAUAUGGUCUGCGUCAUUUAAACUAUGCUAGUGGUCUUCUAGGGCUACGAGAACAGGCUUUUACUAGCUUGGUAUGGUUCAACUUGCAGUGCGCUUGCGAGUCUUAUGACUCGUGAUAACGGCCUAUGUACAUUGAUAAGUUUGGUAUGCUUCAAUAUGAACUAUGCUAGUUGCCUCUCUCUCCUCCGGGAUCGAGUCGGGCUACGAGAACAAACUUGCUUCAUAUAAUCUUCAUUUAGAAAGUCUUAGAAUGUCAAUGAUAUUAUUAUUACAACUUUCAGCAAUGGAUCUCUUGGCUCUCGCAUCGAUGAAGAACGCAGCGAAACGCGAUAUGUAAUGUGAAUUGCAGAUCUACAGUGAAUCAUCGAAUCUUUGAACGCACCUUGCGCUCCUUGGUAUUCCGAGGAGCAUGCCUGUUUGAGUGUCAGUGAAUUUCUCAACCCCUUGUAAAAGAGGGUGCUUGGAUAGUGGGGGUUUGCCAGAGACCUUUAAUUAGGACUUGGGCUCUCCUGAAAUGUAUUGGCUUGCGGGUCGACGACUUUUGACUUUGCGCGAAAAGGCUUUCGGCGUGAUAAUGAUCGCCGUGUGCUGAAGUGCAUUGACUUUGGUUAAACUGUCCGUGCCUCUAAUAUUCACUCGAGGGGUUGACCUUCACGGGUCCCCUUUGACGAUUUAUUGAUUAAAUUGACCUCAAAUCAGGUAGGACUACCCGCUGAACUUAAGCAUAUCAAUAAGCGGAGGAAAAGAAACUAACAAGGAUUCCCCUAGUAACUGCGAGUGAACCGGGAAAAGCUCAAAUUUUGAAUCUGGCAGUCUUUAUGGUUGUCCGAGUUGUAAUCUAGAGAAGUGUUUUCCGCGCUGGACCGUGUAUAAGUUUCCUGGAAAGGAACGUCAUAGAGGGUGAAAAUCCCGUCUUUGACACGGACUGCCAGGGCUAUGUGAUGCGCUCUCGACGAGUCG
rnacentral:rRNA from 1 species